UCCAAGAAGAGAAAGGAAUCUGCCAGCUCUAAAUUAUCCAUGAAUAUCUUCCUAUUUCCUCCUAUGGAACAUGGAAAUAUAGUCUCAUUUCCAUGACUUUGCUACCUGGAUUCUGAGGAGGAUAUAUGAAUAUGAAAGCACUUACAAAUUCUGGCUGACAGUUCAGCUAAAAGAUCACUUCCACACCACUUCAAAUUCAAUAAGCCAUGGAUCCUCCUUUCAGCACUGGAAAAUUCAGAGCUUGGCAUAUGAUAAAGAUACUGAAACUGCAUGAGGAUUAAAAGCUGUAUUUCUGCACCUUAUAAAGCUGAGUAGCACUGGGGGCAAAACUGAGCUGUGUGACAAACACAGACAGAGCAAGAGAAAAAGUGAUAAAGGAGAGCGGAAGAGAUUCACAAAAUUAUAAACACUUCAUGUAACUGAUGAUAGUACUAUAUUAUUACCUUAUGAUCAUACUUAAUCAAGAAUCAACUUGGCAAAAAUCAUAUAUUUUUUACUGUAUCUAAAAAUUAAAUGUAACUUAAAAUCUCCAUGAAGUAAAAUAACAACCUGGUUAAUG